GACGAACGCUGGCGGUGUGCUUAACACAUGCAAGUCGAACGGAAAGGCCCUGCUAUUUUGCGGUGCUCGAGUGGCGAACGGGUGAGUAACACGUGAGUAACCUGCCCUUGUCUUUGGGAUAACUUCACGAAACUGGGGCUAAUAUCGUAUAGCAUCUCCUGCUGCAUUGAGGGGGUUGGAAAGUUGCGGCGGUUGGGGAUGGACUCGCGGCUUAUGAGCUUGUUAGUGGGGUAGUGGCAUACCAAGGCUUUGACGGGUAGCCGGCCUGAGAGGGGGACCGGCGACAUUAGGACUGAGGGACGGCGCAGACUGCUACGGGGGGCAACAGGGGGAAAUAUGGCACAGUGAGAGGAAGCGUGAUGCAGCAGCGCCGCGGGCGGGAUGACGGCCUUCGGGUUGUGAAACGCUUUCGCCUGUGACGAAGCGGGAGUGACGGUAAUGGAUAAAGAAGCACCGGCUAACUACGUG
rnacentral:rRNA from 1 species